GGCCGACUAGCUCAGUUGGUUAGAGCGUCGUGCUAAUACGAUUCGCUGGUAAAGUUAUGACAAGUACUCUUAACUUCAUAAUCUUACCGACGAACUCGAUACGCGAAGGUCUUGGGUUCGAUCCCCACGUUGGCCA